UACGAAGGGGGCUAGCGUUGCUCGGAAUCACUGGGCGUAAAGCGCACGUAGGCGGCUUUUUAAGUCAGGGGUGAAAUCCUGGAGCUCAACUCCAGAACUGCCUUUGAUACUGAGAAGCUUGAGUCCGGGAGAGGUGAGUGGAACUGCGAGUGUAGAGGUGAAAUUCGUAGAUAUUCGCAAGAACACCAGUGGCGAAGGCGGCUCACUGGCCCGGUACUGACGCUGAGUGCGAAAGCGUGGGGAGCAAACAGGG
rnacentral:rRNA from 1 species